CCUACGUGAGGCAGCAGUAGGGAAUCUUCCACAAUGGACGAAAGUCUGAUGGAGCAACGCCGCGUGAGUGAAGAAGGGUUUCGGCUUGUAAAGCUCUGUUGGUCGUGAAGAAAGAUAGAGGUAGUAACUGGCCUUUAUUUGACGGUAAUUACUUAGAAAGUCACGGCUAACUACGUGCCAGCAGCCUCGUUAAUAAGUAUGUGGCAUGCGUUGACCGGAUUGGUUGGGCGGAAAGCGAGUGCAGGCGGUUAAAUAAGUUUGAUGUGAAAGCCUUCGGCUCAACCGGAGAAUUGCAUCAGAAACUGUUGAACUUGAGUGCAGAAGAGGAGAGUGGAACUCCAUGUGUAGCGGUGGAAUGCGUAGAUAUAUGGAAGAACACCAGUGGCGAAGGCGGCUCUCUGGUCUGCAACUGACGCUGAGGCUCGAAAGCAUGGGUAGCGAACAGGAUUAGAUACCCUUGUAGUC
rnacentral:rRNA from 1 species